rnacentral:lncRNA from 1 species
CACAACCCAAUAAUAUCUUAAUAUUUCCUGAAGAAGAGCGAGGAUAUGGCCCCCAGUACAUUAUCCUUUGCUAUAGACUAGAUCAUAUCUCUGAUCUCCUCCAUAGUCACCUCCCUCACCAAGGUAGCAUUCUCCACACCAGAGACUAGCGCAUUAGGGGAAGGGUAGGUGUAGGAGUCAAUAUCAUCCAACUGGGCAGACCACCUAGACCUAAAGAACUAUAGAAUCUCCUAUCUGAUGACCUCCUCAUCCCC